GGAGGACACAAUUUACAGAUUGUAUAGGAUUUAAACUUGUAAUGAGUAAAAGUGUCACUGCUUGAAUUUUUUCAGAGUCAGGAAGCUCAUCAUAUUCUGUAGCAGACUAUACUAUUUUUUAGACAUUUUCAAUAGUUAAAAACUCAUUUUUAUAAAGAAAACAAUUGGCCUUUUAAUGUAAUUUGAACUUUGUGUUUUUUGACUAACAUUCAAUGUUUCUAAUUGUCAUAAGGAAUUUUUCAAGUGAUUACCACUUCGUUUAUUUUCAUGUUAAAUACUCCAUUUCUUUUAACCAAAGUGGGUAGUUCAUAGAGCCCAAUUAAUUUUAAUAAUUUAUGUUAUUUAAUUUUACUAAUUUAAUUUAAUAUAAACAACUAUUAGAAUCAUCUUCUGCUAUGGUUUGAACAUAUCCUAUCUAAAAUGUAGUUGUUGCUAAUAUAAUGAUAUUAAUGUGUGGGCCCUUUAAGAGGGAUUAGACCAUGAUGACUUCUUUCACAUGAAUGGGAUUAAGGCCCUUAUAAAAGAGGCUUUACACAGUGUUUGACUUUCUUACCCUUCCACCAUCUUCCUUAUGAGGGCACAAUGUUGCUUCCCGCUGGAAGACACAGCAAUAAGGCACUAUUGUGGAAGCUCAGAAAGCAACUCAUCACCCAGCCUCACCAGCCAGCAUCUUGAUUUUGGAGAACGUUGACCCAAAGUCUUAUUUCCAAGGGGAGAGAUGCUUUCACCAGGAGAUUCAACAAUGAUUUCACUGAACUGGACAUUAAGGCUGCUGUCCAGGUGCUUUGAAGUCCUUAUGCCUCUGAAUCAAGAGGGAGAAAAGGCGGUUACUCUGCUGGCUGGAGCGAGUGAUCCUGAAUACCAAGGGAAAAUUGGAUGACUACUCCACAAUAAGGAAGAAUACAGCAGAUCCCUUACACCAUCUCUUAGUAUUACUAUGUCCCCUGUGAUUAAGGUCAGUGGAAAAUUAAAAGAACCCAUUCCAGUCAGAACUAAUAGUCCAGACUCUUCAGGAAUGAGAGCUUGUGUCACUCCACCAAGCAGAAAAUACAACCAGCUAAGGUGCUUGCUGAAGGUAAAGGGAACACAAAACAGGAGGUGCAAAAAAGUAGUUAUAAAUACCAGCCAUGACAACAUGACCAGCUACAGAAAUGAAGACUAUAAUUGUUCAAAAGAAAUUUGUCAGAAGAUUUUGAAAAGCGAAAAUUACCCUGGAUUAUCUGAUGGGAACAAUUGUAAAUCAGAAGAGUCCUCCUUUUAA
rnacentral:lncRNA from 1 species